GCCAUCGUGGCUCAGUGGUAGAGCACACCCUUGGUAAGGGUGAGGUCGAGAGUUCGAUUCUCUCCGGUGGCACCA
rnacentral:tRNA from 1 species